UUCCACAGCUACUGGCCUGAAACUGUUCUGUUAUGUAGCAGUUCCAGUAUUCCAACUGUGGAAGAUCAGCAGUUACACUGUGUAGUUCUCUUAAAUCCAUUGGGGAACAGAACUUCAGUGUAACAGACAGUA
rnacentral:snoRNA from 1 species